CAAAAAUGCUUAUUGGGUUCUUUCAGGAAUGUGACUACCGUUAGCUAUUGGGUAUGUGCGGGUGUAAUUUCUGGAUUUGGACAUAUAUAAGAUUAUUAAUUCAUUAUGGGGAAACUAGAUUAGAAGACAUGGACUUCAAUGAAGACUCAGGUUCUGUGGGAAUUCAAAUGCCUCGUGAAGGACGGACCCUAUGAUGCUAACUCAAAACA